rnacentral:rRNA from 1 species
GUGGGGAAUAUUGGACAAUGGGCGCAAGCCUGAUCCAGCCAUGCCGCGUGAGUGAUGAAGGCCCUAGGGUUGUAAAGCUCUUUCGCCAGGGACGAUAAUGACGGUACCUGGAUAAGAAGCCCCGGCUAACUUCGUGCCAGCAGCCGCGGUAAUACGAAGGGGGCUAGCGUUGUUCGGAAUCACUGGGCGUAAAGCGCACGUAGGCGGAUCUUUAAGUCAGGGGUGAAAUCCCGAGGCUCAACCUCGGAACUGCCUUUGAUACUGGGGAUCUCGAGUCCGGGAGAGGUGAGUGGAACUGCGAGUGUAGAGGUGAAAUUCGUAGAUAUUCGCAAGAACACCAGUGGCGAAGGCGGCUCACUGGCCCGGUACUGACGCUGAGGUGCGAAAGCGUGGGGAGCAAACAGGAUUAGAAACCCUGGUAGUCC